UACAGAGGUCCCAAGCGUUGUUCGGAUUCACUGGGCGUAAAGGGUGCGUAGGCGGUCGGGUAAGUCUGAUGUGAAAUCUCACAGCUUAACUGUGAAACUGCAUUGGAUACUAUCCGGCUCGAGGAAUGGAGGGGAGACUGGAAUACUUGGUGUAGCAGUGAAAUGCGUAGAUAUCAAGGUGGAACACCAGUGGCGAAGGCG
rnacentral:rRNA from 1 species